AUCGAGCAGUGCGGAGUGCUCUUUAUUUAGAGUAUAUUUAUAUAUAACUGUUUGAACGCGUCGAGAUCAUGAGCAGACGCACGCUUGUCGCGACAGCUUAUCGGAAGCAGUAAUAGUUCUGGAGACUGUAGUCGCAUUAUCUUACAUAUACGUAUGAUGCGUGAGUGUGUCAUAUACACGUACGUUUGUGCUUGUGCUGUCGAGCGCUUUUAAUUGUAUACAACAUUUUUAUAUGAGUAGCUGGUGAUUCAAGAUCUAUUUUUUGACCUAUAUAAGAGAGAGAUUUGCAGAAGAAAAGAAAUAUACCAAAGUAUUAAGGAUCAAACAUAUUCUUGAUGUAUGUACUCGGGCCGCGAGGCUGAGCAAUAUUCUAAGGAAAGUAUUAUACAAUUGUAUCGUUUUAUAUUGUGCGCAACGCUCAUCGCGACAGCCAUGAUGUACAUGAUUAUCUUACAUACGAUGCGUGAAUUUGUCCUUGGACAUUAAAAAUAUCAUCAAGGGCAAUGAAUAUGUCUUAACAUAUGGGAUCAAUUGUUGUAUCAAAUUCAAAAAAACCACCAUUUGAAAAAUUUGACCCUGGCUAAGAUACACAUCAGUGAACAAUAUAUUAUAAGGAAAACUCUGUACAAGAUACUAGAAAUGCUAAAAGAUGAUCAAGAAGCUUUUACACAAGUCAGGCUAUUAGACAACAAUUCCUUGUAAUAUAGAGAAAGACUUGGAACACUCUAUAAUGGAAUGGCUUAGAUUUGCAAACAUCCGUAAACAAAGAAAAAAAUCUUAAAAGCAACUGUUUGGUAAAGAUCCGGAAAGAUUAAUAAUCUGUUUAAAAG